rnacentral:RNase_P_RNA from 1 species
CCAGAGGGCCGGGCGGCCGCCGGUGGAUCUUCGGAUCUGCGGGAGGAAAGUCCGGGCUCCAGCGAGGAACGGUGCCGGGUAAUGCCCGGCGGGGGUGACCCCAGGGACAGUGCCACAGAAAGCAAACCGCCGUUGCUUCGGCGCGGUCAGGUCGAAAGGGUGCGGUAAGAGCGCACCGCGCGUCUGGUAACAGAGGCGGCACGGCAAACCCCACCGGGAGCAAGACCGAAUAGGGACGGCAUAUGGGAUUCCUCCUUCCCGUCGUCCGGGUUGGUUGCUUGAGCGUGCUGGUAACAGUACGCCUAGAGGAAUGGUCGCCCAUCACGCUUUGGCGUGUGGACAGAACCCGGCUUACAGGCCCUCUGGCUAU